rnacentral:lncRNA from 1 species
CAGUUUGCAAUGCGGGGGUGUUACCCUGCUGUUUUUCCCCCUGGCAGAAAUGACAGCCAUGAAAAUCUCCAGGCUGCAUUUGAGCAGCAUGAAGGACAUUGGUUUCAGGUCUACACAGAACAAAAUGUAAUGGCACACUGGCAAAACUGAGCCACUUGGAGCUAUGGAAUAAACAUCUUACAUAUCUGAAUAUUUCACAGCAGAAUGCCUACACUUUGCUGUAAAUUCACGGAUAACGUGUAUAGGACUGUUGGUAUUCUCACUUUUCUGAAUAACUGGAAUGUGCAGACUUAAUCUUGGAGGAACAGUGAAUUUAAGGAGUAGACUUUAUGGCGUGGAUCUAAGAGGUGCUCCAGACUGGCCGUUGUUACUUGGUUGGCUGGUGGCCCAUGUGCAGUUCAGCGGGGUCUUGACACAGACUGGGGCAAAAAGAGGAAAUAACUACUUGAAAGUAAGGAUUCUAACCCACUGACCAAAAAGUCCCCGCUGGAAUUCUUCUCUGACUCAACUCAUUUCCUUCCAGCUUUCUGGUACGAUGGGUUUUUUUGUUUAUUUGGUUUUGCCUUUCAAUCUCUGAUAAAUCUGAAUUAUAGUCACUCUGUGAUGUGUGCUAUAGAAAAAAACAAAAAAGUAGAUUGUUUAGAAUCCUUGUUUAAACUGGAAUAACUGAUUCAGCUUUGAAAGUAAUACAUGAUCAUUUCCUGACCGGCAAAAGACCCCAAAUCCUGUGUGACCAGCGUUCGCAUUUAUGCAACUAAAAUGCCUCGAGUUUGUUUGCUGUCAUUGGGGGCUGGAUAGAAACGCCCUGCUGAUUGUCUAAAAUACGGUUGGCAGAGUCACUGACUAGAUAAUCUUACUUAGCUUGCAAACGUUGUUAGAAAACCAGCACAUGUCAUAUCAUAUUGUUUUUAAUGCAGUAAAGAGUCAGAUGAUACUGCACAGCUUGCACCGCGCAGGAAGGCCGUGUGCAGGCCUGGCUGCUCUGCUCGCCGAGUCCAAAUCAAUUAUGCUCUAAUCAAGACUGUUUCCGGAACUGGUCGGAUGGAAGUUCAGAGUGAAAAGGAAAAAUUGCUAUUUCUCUCCAGAUCCUGUUUGCAUCAGCAGACUCCAUCUGAGACACAUCCUGUGUGACCCCUGGCGUAGUGGGGGAGGGAGACUCUUCUGUUUGACUUUUGACUGUCACUAAUCUGAAGGCCUUCACUUUUCUUUUUUCAGGAAAAGUUUGAAUUAGUAUUAAAACCCAGUCAUCAUCCUCAGUCCAUAAGGAUACAGAGUCUGGGCUAUUCAUUUUCUCAAAUAGUGCAUCAGAAUCCCCAGGAAACUUAUUUAACAUGCAGAUUUCCAGCCCUACUUUGAGACACACUCUCUAGGAAGGUGCUGUUCUUGCAAACUACCCAGAUGACUCUGAAGUGCAAUCAAAUUCAAGAAUUUGCAUCAGGACGAGGACUGCUCAAAUCCAGCUUCCUAAUCUUACGCCGUGGAGCCCAGCCAGGCCCAACUUCCCCACUGAUGCUCUAUUCCUGGGAAAAUUGUUUUGAAUUUGGGACACUUAAAAGGGACCUCCAAGAUAUGCCCCUGCCUGUGUGUGCAGGAAGACUUCAGGACAUCACCUGCAUGCGUUCCCAGGGAGGGGUGAGUGAGCCUGUCGUAAGGGGGGGUCUCCCAUCCGACUCUCACCAAGUUUUCACCAACGCAUGUCAAAAAGAAAAAUAAGGGUAGAGGUAAAUUUAUUCAAAUUAUUUUGUGAUUCGUUAGCCAUAUCUUUCUGGAGAUGUUAAAAUGCCUGUCUUACUCUGUUCGGGCUGCUAUAACAAAAUACCACAGACUGGGUAGCUAUGAACAGAAAUUUAUUCUUCACAGUUCUGGAGACUAGGAAGUCCAAGAUGAAGGUUCCAGCAUGGGCAGCUGCUGCUGAGGACCCCCUUCCUGAUUCAUCGCCAUCACCUUCCCCUGUUCCUCACAUGGGGGAAGGAGCUAGGAAUCCAGAGGGAGCCUCUUUUAUAAAUCCCUAGUCCCAUUGUUCAGCACCUCCCAAAGGCCCCACCUCCUAAUAUCAUCGCCUUUUUGGCUAGGGUUUCAACAUACGAAUUUCGAGGGGACACAAACAUUUAGACCCUAGCAACAUCUGUUCUUUUAGAGAUUUAUUUUCAAUUUA